CGCCUGGCCUUGUAAAGCUGAGGACUGGGGAGCCGGGCGGCAGAGGCGAGCCCGAGCUGCGUCAGAGGCGGUGACAGCCGAGGGGUCUCCUCCUAG
rfam:Myotis lucifugus cont2.18005, whole genome shotgun sequence.